ACGUGUGAUUUUGUGACGUGUUGGGUUUUUGGAAGAAUUCUAGGCAUUCGUUGCUGGUGGUCUACGCAGGUGAGUAACAAUUUAGAUUUUUCUUUGAUCUUAAUUUUAAUUGUAAUUCAUU